rnacentral:rRNA from 1 species
UACGUAGGGGGCAAGCGUUGUCCGGAAUCAUUGGGCGUAAAGCGCGUGUAGGCGGCUCGGUAAGUCUGCUCUGAAAGCCCGGGGCUCAACCCUGGGAGGCGGGUGGAUACUUCUGAGCUCGAGUCCGGAAGAGGCGAGUGGAAUUCCUGGUGUAGCGGUGAAAUGCGCAGAUAUCAGGAGGAACACCAAUGGCGAAGGCAGCUCGCUGGGACGGUACUGACGCUGAGACGCGAAAGCGUGGGGAGCAAACAGG